rnacentral:tRNA from 1 species
GGAGAGGUGGCCGAGUGGUCGAAGGCGCUCCCCUGCUAAGGGAGUAGGCGGGAAACCGUCUCGUGGGUUCGAAUCCCAUCGUCUCCGCCA